GUGGGCGCAGCUCCUGCAGCUGCGGCAUCGCGGCGGAGGGCUCUCGCGUUCCGACCGCCGCUGAGGCAGCGCGUGGGCGCGCGACCAACGGCCGUAACGGUCGUUCCGGUUAUUCAAACAGCGCUCGGCCGCCGGAGCGUUUGCGCCUUCCGGCUAUAGAGGGAUCUCCGCAGAGAGGGACGGAGGGUCGUCGCCUCAUCCUCGAGCCUGAGGGGCAGAGGGUAGACCAAGCUCAGCUCUAACUGUAAACAUACUGUACAGGGUACCAAAGGAACAAAGCCUGGCUAACUGAAGGCUAUGGAUCAUCUAGUCUGAAAGAACCCUGAUCUAUUUCUCCAGCAAAAUAAAUCAAAAAGUUGUGGAAAGAAAAAAAAAAUCAUAAACAGCCUCAUAAAUGGAAACUCAUUUUCCGGCCUCCUACCUGGAUUGCUCCCAAGUAGGGCAGAGUGUGUCUUGGAGAGAGAAAAGGUAA
ensembl:lncRNA